AACGAACGCUGGCGGCAUACCUAACACAUGCAAGUCGAACGAGACCUUCGGGUCUAGUGGCGCACGGGUGCGUAUCGCGUGGGAAUCUGCCCUUGGGCUCGGAAUAACAGUUAGAAAUGACUGCUAAUACCGGAUGAUGACGUAAGUCCAAAGAUUUAUCGCCCAAGGAUGAGCCCGCGUAGGAUUAGCUUGUUGGUGAGGUAAAAGCUCACCAAGGCGACGAUCCUUAGCUGGUCUGAGAGGAUGAUCAGCCACACUGGGACUGAGACACGGCCCAGACUCCUACGGGAGGCAGCAGUGGGGAAUAUUGGACAAUGGGCGAAAGCCUGAUCCAGCAAUGCCGCGUGAGUGAUGAAGGCCUUAGGGUUGUAAAGCUCUUUUACCCGGGAUGAUAAUGACAGUACCGGGAGAAUAAGCCCCGGCUAACUCCGUGCCAGCCGCCGCGGUAACAC
rnacentral:rRNA from 1 species